rnacentral:rRNA from 1 species
CUCUCCUGGAAACGGGUGGUAAUGCCGGAUGCUCCAGUUGAUCGCAUGGUCUUCUGGGAAAGCUUUCGCGGUAUGGGAUGGGGUCGCGUCCUAUCAGCUUGACGGCGGGGUAACGGCCCACCGUGGCUUCGACGGGUAGCCGGCCUGAGAGGGCGACCGGCCACAUUGGGACUGAGAUACGGCCCAGACUCCUACGGGAGGCAGCAGUGGGGAAUAUUGCACAAUGGGCGCAAGCCUGAUGCAGCGACGCCGCGUGAGGGAUGGAGGCCUUCGGGUUGUAAACCUCUUUUAUCGGGGAGCAAGCGAGAGUGAGUUUACCCGUUGAAUAAGCACCGGCUAACUACGUGCCAGCAGCCGCGGUAAUACGUAGGGUGCAAGCGUUAUCCGGAAUUAUUGGGCGUAAAGGGCUCGUAGGCGGUUCGUCGCGUCCGGUGUGAAAGUCCAUCGCUUAACGGUGGAUCCGCGCCGGGUACGGGCGGGCUUGAGUGCGGUAGGGGAGACUGGAAUUCCCGGUGUAACGGUGGAAUGUGUAGAUAUCGGGAAGAACACCACGCCC